rnacentral:rRNA from 1 species
GACGAACCGUGCAAACGUUAUUCGGAAUCACUGGGCUUAAAGGGCGCGUAGGCGGGUCAGCAAGUCAGGGGUGAAAUCCCACGGCUCAACCGUGGAAGUGCCUUUGAUACUGUUGAUCUCGAGGGAGGUAGGGGCGUGCGGAACUUCCGGUGGAGCGGUGAAAUGCGUAGAUAUCGGAAGGAACACCGGUGGCGAAAGCGGCGCGCUGGACCUCUUCUGACGCUGAGGCGCGAAAGCCAGGUGAGCAAACGGG